rnacentral:lncRNA from 1 species
GGUUUCUUAACCAGGGGUCAGGGGCCCAGAGGGUAGUCUGGUGUCCAUCUGAGAGUGAGUGGAGUUGGGGGCCGGGGGAAGGAGAGGCGGAUGACACUCAAUAUCUUUCAAGGUCCCACUCUGCCAAAAACAUCAUUGAGCAUCUACUCUGUGCCAAGUAAUGUUCUAUGCAGAUGAAUCGGUUCCCACCAUCCAGCGGUCACAGCCUGCCAGGAAGCAAGAGAAGACGACGAAGACUGUGAGUUUCUCGUGGAAGGCAAGAGUAUGUGCUGAGCCCCAGGAACGGAACAUAGAGCAGGAGGCAUAAAAAACAUUGGAGUGAAAUAUGUCUUUUCAGUGAAACCCUUGGAACAGAGGGCUUAAGUUGUUGAUGCAAAGUAGUGUCGGUGUGCU